rnacentral:rRNA from 1 species
AUUGAACGCUGGCGGCAGGCCUAACACAUGCAAGUCGAGCGAUCGGCGGACGGGUGAGUAAUGUCUGGGACACUGCCUGAUGGAGGGGGCUCACUACUGGCAACGGUCGCUAAUACCGCAUACCCUCAGAUGUUCCCAGAUGGGCUUAGCUGGUGGGUGGGGUAACGGCUCACCUAGGCGACGAUCCCUAGCUGGUCGGAGAGGAUGACCAGCAACACUGGAACUGAGACACGGUCCAGACGCCUACGGGAGGCAGCAUUGGGGAAUAUUGCACAAUGGGCGAAAGCCGGAUGCGGCCAGGCCGGGUGUGUGAAGAGGGCCUUCGGGUUGUAAAGCACUUUCAGCGGGGAGGCGUUACCCGCAGAAGAAGCACCGGCUAACUACGUGCCAGCAGCCGCGGUAAUAC